CUGAAAAUGCCCACAAUCAAGUUUAAUGCAAACAGGAUCAUAACACACAGUUACAUACAUCUGUUACUAAAACUUGCCAUGGAGCCACUUCCUAUAAAGCUGACAGAAAAACCCUCAUUCACCAAAACCUGUGUGCAGGAGGACAAGAAAGCUGAUGUAUUCAACUGCUUCUCUACAAUGUAUGACAGGGGACCCCAAGCUCAAAUGUCUUCUCUGCUUUUCAUAAGAAGCACCUCCUUCAAUUUGCCUCUUUUGGAUAUGGGGUUUCUCCUGAAAUGCUGAAAUAUUUCUCUGACAUACUAAAACCGUAGCACCACAGCUGGAAAUUUAAACCUCUUCCCACCUCA